rnacentral:rRNA from 1 species
UACGUAGGGACCAAGCGUUGUCCGGAAUCAUUGGGCGUAAAGAGCGUGUAGGCGGCUUGUUAAGUCUUGCGUGAAAAUCUCGGGGGCUCAACCCCGAGCGGUCGUGAGAAACUGGCAGGCUAGAGUGCGGGAGAGGAGAGUGGAAUUCCUGGUGUAGCGGUGAAAUGCGCAGAUAUCAGGAAGAACACCCGUGGCGAAGGCGGCUCUCUGGAACGCAACUGACGCUGAGACGCGAAAGCGUGGGGAGCAAACAGG